rnacentral:rRNA from 1 species
GAUGAACGCUGGCGGCGUGCCUAAUACAUGCAAGUCGAGCGAACAGACGAGGAGCUUGCUCCUCUGACGUUAGCGGCGGACGGGUGAGUAACACGUGGAUAACCUACCUAUAAGACUGGGAUAACUUCGGGAAACCGGAGCUAAUACCGGAUAAUAUCUUGAACCGCAUGGUUCAAUAGUGAAAGACGGUUUUGCUGUCACUUAUAGAUGGAUCCGCGCCGCAUUAGCUAGUUGGUAAGGUAACGGCUUACCAAGGCAACGAUGCGUAGCCGACCUGAGAGGGUGAUCGGCCACACUGGAACUGAGACACGGUCCAGACUCCUACGGGAGGCAGCAGUAGGGAAUCUUCCGCAAUGGGCGAAAGCCUGGCGGAGCAACGCCGCGUGAGUGAUAAAGGUCUUCGGAUCGUAAAACUCUGUUAUUAGGGAAGAACAAAUGUGUAAGUAACUAUGCACGUCUUGACGGUACCUAAUCAGAAAGCCACGGCUAACUACGUG